CAACGCGUUGGAUGCAUAGCUUGAGUAUUCUAUAGUGUCACCUAAAUAGCUUGGCGUAAUCAAUGGUCAUAUGCUGUUUCCAUCCUUUUGAACAAAAGUUCAAUCGGGAAAUGUUUUUUCGCUAAAGGAUGGGGCUAUACGGUAUCAGCUUGUUGGUGAGGUAAGAGCUCACCAAGGCAAUGACGCCUAGCUGGUCUGAGAGGAUGAUCAGCCACACUGGAACUGAGACACGGUCCAGACUCCUACGGGAGGCAGCAGUGAGGAAUAUUGCACAAUGGGGGAAACCCUGAUGCAGCAACGCCGCGUGGAGGAUGACGCAUUUCGGUGUGUAAACUCCUUUUAUCAAGGAAGAAAUUUGACGGUACUUGAUGAAUAAGCACCGGCUAACUCCGUGCCAGCAGCCGC
rnacentral:rRNA from 1 species